rnacentral:rRNA from 1 species
UACGUAGGUCCCGAGCGUUGUCCGGAAUUACUGGGUGUAAAGGGUGCGCAGGCGGUCUUGUGCGUCAGAGGUGAAAUAUCACGGCUCAACCGUGAGGGUGCCUUUGAUACGGCAAGACUUGAGUACGAGAGAGGGUGAUGGAAUUCCUGGUGUAGCGGUGAAAUGCGUAGAUAUCAGGAGGAACACCGGUGGCGAAGGCGGUCACCUGGCUCGUUACUGACGCUCAGGCACGAAAGCGUGGGGAGCAAACAGG